GCUACUGCGAGUCCAAUGGGCGCGUUUUCCUCCUCGUCGUGGGUCUGAAACAUUUUAUGCAGUGUGUGCUACUGGAAGACGGCGGUUGUGCGUCUCCUGCUCUCGGAUCUUCUGGUCCUGACUGCUUCUACGUACAUCAGUGGGCGGGACAUGAUUGGCAGCUCACAGAUCCUAAGCCGGCUGACAGCAGCCAUCAAGCUACCGUCACCAUGCACAAUUGGUCGAAGUCAUAGAGACUCUCUGGGGUCUGGGAGAUCAGAUGGCAGUGGGGGACAGUUUAAGGUUUGGCUUACUUUGCCUUUUGUAUUUUUUCUGGAAUAUGCUCUAAAAAGUUUUGGCCCUCCAUUUGUUCUGUAGUAAUGUCCAAGGAAGAAACAACAGGUACUGUACAUUUUUCAUAUUCAAAACACAUAAACAAAACAACUGGAGUGGAAUUUUGCGAGCUGGAACGGAUUAAUGGGAUUUCAAUUCAUUUAAAAUUUAAAACGGGGAAAAUUGUUUUGAGAUACGAGCAAUUUGAGACGAGCAAAGUCACGGAACGAAUUAAACUCGUAUCUCGAGGCAUCACUGUAUAUCACCAUGGAGUGAUGAUCAUUAAAAUCUGCCAGUGUAUAUGAGCAGGUCUGUGUUGUAUAAAUGUAGGGUUGCAAAGGGGUGGAAAGUUUCCGGGAAAAAUUUCCGGAAACUUUCCACGGGAACUUAAUCUUGUGAAUUUUGGAAAUAUUCGAAAUUGGAAACUUUACGGGAAUUUCUGCAAAUUUACAGGAAUUUAUGGGAAUUAUUUGAAAAUAUAGGGAAAUUUAUAUAAACUAUAUCAUAUACAAACAUAAACAUUUUGUUUGGUCAUAAGCAGACAUACAUGUAAGGUAAUACAAAUUUUAAAAAUGUCAUCUUGACUGAUUUAAUUGUAAGUAGAACUUUAAUUGUUUCUUUCAAAAGCAUAAUAAACAUUAUUAUGCUUGUAAUAAACAUAAUAAACUUAAUAAUUGUAAUAAACACAUUUGGGAAAUUGUAUUUCCCUAUGAUUGCUGUAAAAUGAAAGCAUCCCCCCACCCUUGCCCUUCUAAAAAUGUCCCAAUCAAAAUGUAAAAGGAAGCAUUUUUCCUCAAGCUUAUUAUGUCUCUGCUUCUGUGGUAGUCAGGCCUGGAAAAUGGAGGGGAAUCAGAUUUUUUUUUUAUUUCGGGGGAGUGAGUGUGUGGGGGAGGGUCAUCAAAUGAUCUGUGCAUGUGGUAACACUCCUAAUUUACUGCUUAUUAAGAGUUAGUAAGGUAGUUACUAAGUUUAGGUAUUGGGUACCAUUUAAGAAUGCAGAAUAAGGCAUUAAUAUGUGUUUAAGUACUAAUAAAUAGCCAAUAUUCUAUUAAUAUUCAUGCUAAUAAGCACCUAGUUAAAUUACCCUAAAAUAAAGUGUUACUGUGCAUGUUAUGUGAGAACACAAGUACAUGCAGGGGGUUUGGCCUCAAUGGCCCUCCAGUAAGCAGUGUGCUGUGUGCAAGUGACCGAGGAACGCAGGGCACAAAUUCAACUUAAAUUGCAUUAAAUCUUGUUUUAAACAGAAUUAUGCUGCAAGAUGUUUUUUAACUACAUUUAAAUUCCUUGUUAUAGGCAACUCUACAUUUUUUUUUUUUUUUUAAUUCCCAGUUUAUUCCCAUAUAUUCCCGUUAAUUCCAAUAUAUUCCCAUUAAUUCCCAUGGAAAGUUUCCAGCCUUGAAAAUUCCCGGAAUUUUGCAACCCUAUAUAAAUGUCUUCCUGCAGAUUCCCAAACUUAAGCAACACAAUCCGUUCUGUCUGGGUUCUCUGAUGAAGAGCCUGACUGAGAGAGAGGCCGAGGAUAUGCAGAACACUCUGAAGGGAGUCUGUGUGGAAAAAGACCAGGCUCACAGCAGGUUUGGAGAAUACACUCU